rnacentral:ncRNA from 1 species
ACCCUGGUUGAUCCUGCCAGUAGUCAUAUGCUUGUCUCAAGAUUAAGCCAUGCAAGUCUAAGUACGAGCUCUCGUACCGUG